rnacentral:siRNA from 1 species
UCAUUUUAUGCCACUUACUUAUGC